UUAAAUCAAAACUAAAAUGUCACCUGUUUAUGGUUGCUUUAGAAUCAUAAUAAAUGGAACAUUGACCAACGUGUUUGAUGUGUAUUGAUAGUUUUGAUGAUGCCACUCAUUAAAAUGUAAUUUUUGUUUCUGAUUUCUCAAUUGCUGACUGUAUGGUGUAUUUUGUGGCUUUUUUGUGUGUUUUUAUAAUGUAAAUUACUUUGAACUGCCUUGAACUGAAGUAUGCUAUACAAAUUGGAUUGAUUGAUUAAAGAAAUUACCUAAUCAAUACUUCCAAGAAUAUAAAAGUUAGUUUAAACAUAGGAUGAUAUAUAGCUUACAAAAAGAAUAAAGUGAUUAAAUAUACUGCUAAGGCAUUUAAAAAUAUUGACAAGAAAAUAAUAUUAAAUGGACAUUAAUGAGUUAUAAUGAAACGAUAAUAGGCAUAAAAAUGCAGUAACAUCAACAGAGAUAUUACAGAAGUCAGUAAAAGUAAUUAGGGUGUUUAAAACAUCUCAUUAGAGUUUCAGGAGUAACAGGGUCUCUGUAGGAACUUGGGCUCUGAAAUAUGUUCAUAUUUUCCAUACUAAGCCUUUAUGGAUAAGUCUGACAUUUUUUUAUUUAUUCUCGCAACAGUUUCUUCUUUUAUUUUAUUAACCACGAGUAGUUUCUGGUAAAAUAGCUGUAUUUUAUUUUUGGCAACUGCAAUCAAAUUUUCUCAUGUUAUUCACUAACAGGCUCAUAGCAAAAUAUAGAUUUAAUUAGAUUUGGCUUGAAAACUGAGAUUUCUAUAGCUGGCUAGAUUGUAAGAAUAAGUAACCUUCGUGAUACUUAAUGCAUACUGUCUGAAUGUGUUGAAAUUAGGUAACCUAAGUUUAAAACUACUAGGAGUCCAAACAAAAUAAAAUAAAAUUAUACAGUUAUAGCAUAUUACAUAUGCACAGUUAUAUACGCAGUUAUAUUAAACUUGAAUAAAUUGUUAGGCAGUAACUUUCGCAGAUCUUACAAUGUCUUUAGGAAAUGGUCUUUAAGAAAUCUUAACAAGUCUCAAGUAGUGAAACAUACAGAACACCUGGAACUAAGAGACAAAGUGAUUAACUCAUAAUACUGUUUGGGUAAAUAAAAUAAACAAUCAAAGAAAAUUGAAAAAUAAUAUACUUUAAGUAAAUCUAAGUAAAUUGUUUAUCUAUAUACAAAUAACUUUUAUGGAUGAAAAAGUAAACUCAUUUGAGAAUUUAUUUUGAUGCUCCAAAUAUAAAUAUUUCAUAUUGUACAUAUUAUUUUAUUGUAAGAUAAUACUUAAUUUCUCUUUAAUUCUUAAGUAAAAAUACCACACAAAGCACAUUCAUCAUCUAUGGUCAUCAAACAGCAUUUCAGAAAUAUGGAAGACGGGGUAGAAAGCCACUACUCAGUGCCUAGACACUCACUCAACACUGUAUUGAUCAGACAUCAUUGUGUAAAUAACCAGUUAACAUCAGGAGCAUUGGUGAAAAUAGACUGAUAUGUGACGCUAAUUAUCAGAACAAGACCUUAAUCAAGGUGUUGCUAAAACUCAACCCUUGGUGUACCUAUGAUUAUGAUUUUGUGUUUGUUGUACCCCCAGUGAGCCAUGCAUCUGUCAUUUGGUAGACCAGUUUAUAACAGUCAUAGCUAGACCUGUCACAAUAACCAAUAAAUAAUUAAUUGCAUGAUAAAUUAAAAUGAACUGAAGAUUGUGUUUUCCCUAUAUUGUGUACAAUGAAUGUGUGGGGAUCCAGGGUUUUGGGAUGGUGGGGUUGUUCAUCUUUUGUCCACCAGAGGGCGUCCUGAGGUUUUGCCUGGAGGGUUGGCCUUCAGCUCGGGUCCCAACACACCUGAUGCCAAUCUCGUCAGCUCCUAUAAGAGGAGGGAGUCACCGUCACUUCACUGCCAGAGUGUCACCAAUGUUCGAGAUCCGAGAUUGCUGUGCUGUGGAAUCCCUGUCCGCCCGUCCGCACUC